rnacentral:rRNA from 1 species
AGAGUUUGAUCAUGGCUCAGAUUGAACGCUGGCGGCAGGCCUAACACAUGCAAGUCGAGCGGAUGAAGGGAGCUUGCUCCCUGAUUCAGCGGCGGACGGGUGAGUAAUGCCUAGGAAUCUGCCUGGUAGUGGGGGACAACGUCUCGAAAGGGACGCUAAUACCGCAUACGUCCUACGGGAGAAAGCAGGGGACCUUCGGGCCUUGCGCUAUCAGAUGAGCCUAGGUCGGAUUAGCUAGUUGGUGAGGUAAUGGCUCACCAAGGCGACGAUCCGUAACUGGUCUGAGAGGAUGAUCAGUCACACUGGAACUGAGACACGGUCCAGACUCCUACGGGAGGCAGCAGUGGGGAAUAUUGGACAAUGGGCGAAAGCCUGAUCCAGCCAUGCCGCGUGUGUGAAGAAGGUCUUCGGAUUGUAAAGCACUUUAAGUUGGGAGGAAGGGUUGUAGAUUAAUACUCUGCAAUUUUGACGUUACCGACAGAAUAAGCACCGGCUAACUCUGUGCCAGCAGCCGCGGUAAUACAGAGGUGCAAGCGUUAAUCGGAAUUACUGGGCGUAAAGCGCGCGUAGGUGGUUUGUUAAGUUGGAUGUGAAAGCCCCGGGCUCAACCUGGGAACUGCAUUCAAAACUGACAAGCUAGAGUAUGGUAGAGGGUGGUGGAAUUUCCUGUGUAG